GACGAACGCUGGCGGCGUGCCUAACACAUGCAAGUCGAGCGAGUGAAUCUCCUUCGGGAGUGAAGCUAGCGGCGGACGGGUGAGUAACACGUGGGCAACCAGCCUCAUAGAGGGGAAUAGCCUUUCGAAAGGAAGAUUAAUACCGCAUAAGAUUGUAGCUUCGCAUGAAGUAGCAAUUAAAGGAGCAAUCCGCUAUGAGAUGGGCCCGCGGCGCAUUAGCUAGUUGGGGUGGUAACGGCUCACCAAGGCGACGAUGCGUAGCCGACCUGAGAGGGUGAUCGGCCACAUUGGGACUGAGACACGGCCCAGACUCCUACGGGAGGCAGCAGUGGGGAAUAUUGCACAAUGGGGGAAACCCUGAUGCAGCAACGCCGCGUGAGUGAUGACGGCCUUCGGGUUGUAAAGCUCUGUCUUCAGGGACGAUAAUGACGGUACCUGAGGAGGAAGCCACGGCUAACUACGUGCCAGCCGCCGCCGUAAUAC
rnacentral:rRNA from 1 species